UUUCACGUUGAAGGGAAACGAGCAAGGAGGCGAUUCUGACGGUUAAGAGUUUCAAAGGAGGAAAUAUUAUCAUUUAGCCGUUAUUAAUACUACAGUCAUCGCCACCGUCAUCAUCUUCACCACUGCUGUUGUUAGCUUGUUGGAUUAGAUGAGCACUCUCGGUGUGUUUUCUUCUUCUUACUUGGGGUGGUUGGCCUGGCUCAGCACUGUUGUUCUUCAGGCCAAAAGUAUCAAAUUCUUCACUGACAGACGAUUUUGAUCCAGCGGUUCCCAGGCUUGCUUCAGAGACACGUACAGAGCAAAUAGGAUUUGUUCGAAGCGGCAAGAGAAUCAGAAUCAGAUCUGGGGACAUGCUGAGGCUAAUCGAUUGCUUCUCAACGCGUCUGAAUCUGAAUGGUUCAUCUCAGGAAAGGUUUUUUGUAGCAAAGCUGCAGCAACUUCAGGGCACGAGCACGUCACUCUCAAAAGAGCCAGAUGGACCUACGGCACCAUCUUCCCUAGGAAAACCGCUCCAUCUGGACUGAAGAGAGACCACUGGCAUAACUAAGCAGCAGUCCCUCCAGGACCUAUGGGAGGGAGGAGGAAGCUAUUGAAGUUGCUUUGCAACAGGAGGACUUGUUGACUGUCUGGCCUGCCUGCAGUCCUGAACCACGCCUCGUAUAGCUGACACCUGCCACUGGGAAAGCAGGGCGUUCACACAGGCCUCUGACGCAUCGCAGAUGGCGGUAAGAUCGUGUCCACCUUCCAGCGCCAGGAUCACCCGUCCGCCUGCCAGCUCCAUCAGCUGUUUCGUCAGAUUUUAAAAAGAUCAAGAGUCUGCAGCUGUAAACUGGAUAAACCCUGGUCUUCAAAAAGAGGCAGUUUGUGGCAGUUCCUGAGGGGAGGUCUCAGUACAGAAACGUCCCCGUGAGAGCUAGCCAGGAUGGUACACCCUGCCGCAGAAGAAGAUGGGGAAUGUAUAGUACAGUACAGGCAGGCACAGUCCUAGAGUUUCCUCGCUUUCAGUGGUGAGAAGCUAUCGCUGCUAGGAAAGCUAGGACGGCACACAGCAAUCUGAGCAAAAACCAUACACCAGUAUGAAAAAAGAAGGUAAAAAUAUGUGAUGAAGGAUGUGCAGAAGAUAAGCAGAAAAACGAGAGGAGAAUGCAGACAGCAUGACGUAAAUUUGGUCUGGUGAUAGGUUGGUCCCAUUGCCAAGCAUGGCUGUAUUUCAAUGCACAACUGAACUCUUCACCAUGGAAAUAUUUCCACAGCUCUCAAAAAGCACAUUAAAAGUCAGUCUACUAUCAUGGAAAAAGUCUUAUAAAAUAUGUUGGAUUUCUCUGUAAGGAGGACAAGACUUUCUAAAUAAUAAACGGUAAUCUGUCACUGCUGUGUAUUAUCAUGUGACGACAACGACGAUGCCGAGAAGGCUCAGCAGAUGCGUUCCUGGACCACUGAGCUUGAAUGUGCCGACGAGCGGGGCUGUGAGAGCCCGGGAGAGCAGAGCUGGAGGGCAGACGAGGGACGGGAGACGCCCUCGGCCCCAGCCACGCGUCCGGGGCCCAGCCGCCUUCCGGACAGAGACGAGGCCAACUGCAGUCUCGCUACGCCCUCUCCUCUCCUCCUCCGCGUGGUUGUGAGCAGGUGUCACCAAGAAUGAAACUGAGACCUGAUAUCAUCCAGACUUUUUGAGACUCCUGAGCUCAGCUCUAGGAUUUUCUUUUACACAGAAAAUUGAGACUCCAACAGAAUUGUGUUCCUGCAAUAAAAUAACAAAGGCUCAAUCUCUGAGGCUCUAAGUUACCAUAAAAUUUUGUGGGUGGUAAUUUAAUGCAAAUAAUUCAGACGCAAAACACAGAGGCAGAACGAAUCCCUAAUUACACAAGCACAUCAGCGAGAAAUAACUGUAAAAUUAUGAGGUAGGAGGCCAUGCCAAGAUUUAGAACCAUGAAAAUGAACUUCUGUGAAAAAAUGGUGUUUAGGUUGAAUGGGACAGCUGAGUUUCAUGUGAUUUAAAGCUUCUUUCUCUCUCAAAUCAAAAUGCAUUGUAUGACAUAAAUGCAUGAAUGUCUACAUACAGUGGAAAAUAAUAAGUUGGAAAUAACAUUUUUGUAUUCAUAGACUUUCACAGCAAAUAUUGUUGUAUGUCCAUAAAUUUUCAGAAGGCCAGGAAGAUUAUGACAAUGUAAUGCACUGGUAUUUAAUAUUAUUAUUACUAGACUGUGUGUUCCAAGUGCAUAAAAAGAUUAAAGAUGACCACUAUUCAGACUUGAAGAAGGAGGUAUUAAAAAAAAGGCUAAGAAGAAUUUUCAAAAGUCAGAUAAAAACUUGUAUCUAUGGUUUUUAAUUUUUUAUAUUUAUUCCAGGAAAGGGUACUGUAUUUUCUUGAAGAAAACUUCGCUUUCUACAGCAAUAUGGUUUCCUCAAGACAUUUAUUGGCCAAGAUUAAAACUCCCAAUCCUAUCUGAGUGCAAAAGAUCUUUCCCUUAAUAUUCUCUUACUUCACCUGUCGAUCUAUUAAUGUAACGUUAGUUAAUUAAUUAAUGUAAUGUUUAAUUCAGUAUAACUUAAUUUUGGAAACAAGAAUGAUUUUUCCAUUACCAGUAGUGGAUAUACUAAUGCAAAACAUUAUAGUAUAAGAAUAUUGUGUAUAAGCAGAACAGACCUAUUCAUAAAACAGAAAAAAGAGCAGGAAGUCUAUGUUAGCACAAUCGUCAUCAGGCAAGACAGAGAUCCAUUACACCCUCCUCUGAACUGCAGCCCCCACCUGGGUGCUGCCCGGCCACCUCAUCUGAUUAUAAAGCAGCAGCAGCAGCCUCACUGUACAGCACAUCAGCUGGAGGAGUGAGGAGUCGCUCCACCAGUUUACUUAAGGGAUAAAUUUAAUUGGACAGAUAGACGUGGAAUUUAACACCCCCUUGCAAAAACUGCUCAGGGGUCUUUAAAAACCAUGUAAUCAUUACUGUGGGAUUAUGGAACAAGCUACCCAUCCAUGUCACUGAAGCUGAUUUCUUGGCUUCUUUCAAAAACAGGGAUCAAUAAGCUACUAACUACCAAAUGAGCUAGACAGGCCGAAUGGCCUCCUCUCGGUUGUAACUGUUCUAAUCUUCGAUUCAGGACGAUUUCUCGUCUCGUCUGAAGGAUGAUGUCUUGUACAGCCCAGAGUGUUUACGCUGGGGCAUUCAUUUGGAAAUUCUGGUGCAGAGGGAAGAGCACCACCUACUGGUCAUCCAAGCACCGCUUGCAGCGGCACGCUGGUUCUCUCUAGAGGUCCGUCUCAGUACUGAGCAGGCCCAGCCUUGCUGAGCUUCUGACGUCUGACAUGUCAGGGUUCAUGGCGGUGAAGCUCCUGCCUGUUACCGGCAGAACACAGGCACAAGAGCAGGACAGCUCCGCAGAGCCUGAGCUACCGCUGUCUUUCCAGCGACAGAUGUAUGUGAGCUGCGGCCGCCUUUUCAAGAAAGAGACCAGGACGCAUCUUUAAUGAAGCGCUCCCUCGCAAGCACACAUGCAUGACAUUCUCAGUCUUCAUCUUUGUGCGCAGUGGAGAAAUGUGCACCAGCGAAAAAACAACAGUUCUGAUUCACACAAGUCAUCAAUGAAAAUAAACAAACACAUCAGUCUAAAUGAAAGCAACAGUAGCCUGGCCCAGCUCCCUUUAAAAGGUUCAAAGCCUUUAUUCAUUGCCCGUAGUCCUGCCAAGAGCAGGCUAGUGUUGCCCUGACAUGCAUGGAAAUGAUAUGAGGCAUGUAAAUCAAUUAAAAAUAUUAUCAUUUAAAACUUAUU